GUGAAUCAUCGAAUUUUUGAACGCAAAUUGCACUUUCUGGUAUUCCGGAAAGUAUGCCUGUUUGAGGGUCAGUUAAAUAAAAAUCGGUGUUGUUGCUGCUUUUCGUGGUGACGCGUCGGAAUUGGGUCGUCUUACCUUCGGUUAAGUGACUUAAAAUUUUUGAUUGAUUUUCGAACGUAUUUAAUUUGUUUAGGAAGGUUUAAGAUU
rnacentral:misc_RNA from 1 species